GUGCUUACCUGGCAGAGUAGAGAUGAUCCAGAAGGUGAUAUUCAAGGGUGAGGCUCUUUCAUUGUACUUGGGGUGUGCCAGUUCACACAUCACCCCUGUGAUUCUCCCAGAUGUGAGAAAUUCAGCUGUGUAAUUUGUGGUCAUUGGGGACUGUGUUCAUGCUCUCCCCUA